rnacentral:lncRNA from 1 species
CGAAAAAGAUACACAAACCCAAAGAAAAGCACACGUUAUAGGACAGGGCGCAGGCCGCGCCCCCCUCACGGCCCGGCGCUGCCGCCCCCAAAUGGCGGCGGGGCCGAGGCCGAGGCCGAGGCGGGGGCGGGGCCGGGCACGCGGCGGCUCCCCGGCGAAGUUUCCCGCGGGCGGGACCCGCGCCCCGCCCCGCCCCGCCCCCCCGUGCCGGCCGCCGGCGCGCGGGGCCCCAACUUUUCGGGGGCGGGGCCGCGGGGAGGCGGCGAGCGCGCGGCGGGGGCCGGCACUUGCCCGCCGCGGUGCGGCCGCGGGUCCCGGCAGCGCCCGGCUCGGCUCCGGGCGGGGGGGGGGCGGGAUGGGGACGGCGACGGGGCGGGCGCCGGGGGCUGCAGCGCGGCCCGGCCCCGGCGGCGGAGCGGCGGCGGCGGCGGCGAGCGCGCGCACGUGACUCCGGCGCUGGGCGCCCGCACACCGCGCCCGCUGCCCUCGCCGCCUCCCCGAGCACCGUGCGAGCCGCCGGCAGGGCACGGCUCGGCUCGGCUCGGCUCGGCACCGCGCGGCUCGGCACCGCGCGGCUCGGCACGGCACGGCUCGGUACCGCGCGGCACGGCACCCGGCGCCGAGCAGGCGGCAAGAGUUCGCGAAGGCUGCCGCUGCGUUGCCUUCCCGGAGAGGUUGCGCGCCCGGAGGAUGGCCGGCUGCGGGCUGUCGGAGGACGCCUUCUUCUCGUCCUUCUUCUGCAACUACACCUCCUCCUGGGAAGCCUCCUACAACCAGUGUGGAUGCUUGCGAUCCAGUUUGUCUCGCUAUGACCAGAAGGUAUCACUGAGGGAUACCAGCGCGACGGAUGCACAUAGGAGAGAACCUGACUAAAGUGAUAGGAUGCCCCAGGUCUCCAGCAGGUGAAACCUGACAGAGGGACGUGAACUCCUUGGGUAUGUGUAUGUCUGUGGGCUGUGAAAGCAGGCCUUCUCCUGCCAUCCUGACCUGACCAGCGUGCUGGACGUACGUGUACCUCGUGUGUUUACUGCCAGUGGACACGGGGUGCUGUUCCCCUGUGCUGCUCAGGGGGAGGAGGUAGAAGAGGGUGGGUGGGGGAAAGGUGUUUUUAGUUUGCUUUUAGUUGCUCACUAGUUUAGGUUGUUAGUAAUAGGCAAUAAAUUACAUUAAUCUCAUUUACA